CAUAUUUGAUAAUUUAAACAUUAUACAUUCUACAGUUGCCCAUAAUAAGUAAAUAUGCAGAUGUGCUAAGUAUUUGCUUGGCGAUUUGUAUUGCUGCCACCUGAUCAUAUUCUCACAUCCACCGAAUAAAGCAGGCUCACUUUACACAUCACAUGCUGAAACAAAAAAUUUUGAUCAAAAACUUAUAAAGGAAUAAAAUUUUGCCAACAAGUUAAAAGGAAGAUCUUGGUAUAUAAAUAAACGAAAGGUCUGAUUCUUCUUACAAAUAAAUCUGUUACUUGAUCCAACAAUAGCAUUGAACUGAAGUUGUUAGAUACUCGUAUGAAUAAAAGCUAAAGUACAAAGCUAUUUCCUUGGAUAUCAUCACAACACUUACAUCCACAAACUAUUUACUUGAUAGCAUAAAUUCUUGCCAUAUAUUCAUGAAAAUCAUAAUGUAACUAAUAAAUCAUAAGUUAAACACUAUAAGCUUUCUAAUAUUUAGAAUAAAACAAAUAAAUUAUAAGUUGUAAUUUAUCCUAAUGAUUAACAAACUUGCAUCAAAACUGAAGGCUAAUAACACUAGGAAAUUGAAGCAGAAGAAAUGAACUGAAUAAAAUAGGAAUGGUCUGAUAGGAGUAGUUAGUUAAACAAACCAAGCAUGUUAAAAUCUGUUGGAUCCAACUUCAAACAAAAGAAGCAACAAAUUAAAACGCGCAAAACUUUUUCUAAGGCAUGAAUUCCACUAGUAUCUAUAUUAUCAGUAAAAACUACAAGAGAAUAUAUCACAAAUUACUCUUAGUUACUUAAUGUAACCUGGAGAAAAGAUGUGAAAAGAUUUAGGAGAUGAGUUAACAAGCAUCACUUACCACUCAAUGCCAUCAUAACAACAUAUCAAUCUGUUAAACCAAAAUAUGCAUAAAUUAGCAUUCAAUCAAUUUGGCUUCAUCAAAGUUUUUGUCCCUAGAAUUACUCCACAGUAAGAGAUCCUCUUAUGGGAACACAUACCAAUGCAAGAUAUAAAAAAUAAGGUGAAUCAAAUGUGAAUACCAUUUCUGAACAUAGCUUUAAACCAAAUAUGAAUACCAUCUCUAAACAUACCUAUAAAUGAAAUAAAUAAGCACUACUUAAAGAUGCAAUAUUGUUACCUUUAGAUAAAACACCAUAUUGAAUAAAAAAUUUAUUCGAAUUUAUAUGCAUUUGUUGCUAAAUAAGUAGCAGUAUUUGCCUCGACUACAUCAUCAAUUAGAUGGUCUGUAGCUAGCUAUAUCCCAACUCUUAGUAUGGCUCAUUCUCAUGACCUUCAUCUUUCACAACUUCUUCUGUAUCAUAUAAAUCUCUUAGCUUUAGGUUUACUAAAAAUACUUCAUCUUUAAUUGAAAACAUCAUCUACACAGUACACCAUAUUUAUGCUUGAAAUACUUCGAUGUAAGGCUCAUAUUCUUCACCCUCAAUCUCGAAUAAUUAUAUAGAAAGUUGGAGUUCAUUUUCUUUUUUCCAAAUAAAUAAAACAUUAGUAGCAUACAAAUAAUUUACCUGCCUAAUGAUCUUUGUAUGCUAGAAUUAUUCAAAUUUGAAGGCAUAUAUAAAAUAUGCUCAAACACUUAUGCGAGCCGUACAUAAACUAGUUUUUACAACAAAAUGAGUCAACUUACCUGAUAGCGGGUUUGAAGUUACACCAUGUCCAGUACUCUUAGAAACGCGCACAUCUGCAAUAAUGAUAUGAUGCAAGACAUAUUACUAGAGGAAGUUUUUAUUUGCAGUAAUUCAUUUUCUAAGGAAAGUGAAAAACUAAACUAUUAAAGUAUGAGCUAGAGAAGGAAAAAUUUGUCACCAUAGCAAGUAAAAUAUAUGCAUUCAUUAAAGACCUUGUACUGUCUUGAUAUUCCUCAAUAUAGAAGUGAGAAAAAUAUUAGGAAGUUCCCUGAUUGAAUAAUCGACAGAAUAAAAUGCAUUUAUGCUCUCCCAUCAACACCAGCUCUAAUGUGAUUAGGGGUAAGGCAUGGGCCUUAGGCCCGCAAAUUUGGGGGCCCCCAUUUUUUAAAACGAAUAGGCUUAUAGGUAUUUUAAAAAUGAUAUUUAGUAUUUUUAAUACAAAAUUAGAGUUUUUAAUAUAAGAGGAAAUAGAGCUCUUUAGAUAUGUAAAUAAAGUAAUAAUUUGACAUAUUCAAAAUGGAUAGAUGAAUAGUUUUCUCAAUGUUUCAGUUUUACUCCUUCAUUAGAUAAUGUAUAAAAAAAUUCACGCUCCCUUUCUUAUUAUGUCCAAGUCAAUCUUUCCUUUCUCCAAUAUCUUUAUAUUUCAGAAACCCCUAUAUAUUUUCUUUCUUUCUUUUUAAUAUUCUUACUCACUUGCUUUCUCCAAUAUUUUAUUACUCACUUUCUUUCUACAAGAUUUCAUUAGCUCCAAUGUUCAACAAUACUUUUAAGCUUCCAAUAAUUUUAUACUUCUAUUGCUCUAUAAAAUAUUAUCUAAUAUCAACAAUAUCUCAAGAAAGAUUAAAUGAGCUGGCUAUAUUAUCAAAUGAAUAAAGAUAAUUAGAGAAAAUCAAUUAUAAAAAAAAGAUUAUUAAUAACUUUGUAUCUCAAAAAGUUAGAAGAAUAUACUUCAAAUAAAAACGUAUGCUAUAACUUUCUUUUAAAAAAUUAGGCCUCAUAUUAAACUUUGGCCUUAGGCUCUGCAUAUACUUGAGCCGCCCAUGUCUCCCAUAUUAUAUUAAUUUGUGGGUCAAUCAAUUUCAACAUCACACAACAUAACUAAAUUCUAAUUGGAAUCUAGAAAAGCUUUGCCUUAAAUAAAGGAGCUUCUUACUACAACACUGAGUAGUCUGUAGCCUGAAGCAAAACAUCUAAUGGUCUUCCCUCGAAUGUCAAUACUCUUUAAAAAGGAGAAUAAAUUUUAAGCUAGAUUGUCCAUAAGGGUUUCAUUACUGGCUCAAGCAAUAACUACAACUGGAAAACCCAAAUUCUAGUGCUACUGAGAUAAAGAAAAUAAAUGAAAUUAAGAGGAAAAGUAAAAAAGAAAAAACAUCACCUUUAGACGAGCAGUGACAUUCUGAAGUUGAUUCGCCCAAAUGGAUACUUCACUUCAGAAAUUCCCAAGACACAAUGCAAUACCAAUAAAUCGUAUUCCUAGCCUGAAAACACCUUAAUAAAAAAACUACUUAAAUUGAAACAAUGGAACAACACAAAAGACAUAAUCCGUGAUUCAAAAAUCAGAGCAGGGGCCAUAAAUUGAGAAGAAGAAUAAUACUUACAAAAUGUAACUAAUAUGGACAGAAAAUUGCGAGAGAGUGCAUCUGAAGGGAAGCAAUGCACUAGAGAAGAAGUAGUUCAGCCGAAGUGUUGAAAAGGAAAAACC
rnacentral:lncRNA from 1 species